AUUCUAUGAAGAAUAUAUUAUUUGCUACUCUUGAUCUAGUUUAACAUCAUAAAGCUAAUGACGACAGUUUAUAUAUCACCAAGAUCGCUGAGAAU
rnacentral:snoRNA from 1 species